rnacentral:rRNA from 1 species
UACGUAGGGUGCAAGCGUUAAUCGGAAUUACUGGGCGUAAAGCGUGCGCAGGCGGUUUUGUAAGUCUGACGUGAAAUCCCCGGGCUCAACCUGGGAAUUGCGUUGGAGACUGCAAGGCUAGAAUCUGGCAGAGGGGGGUAGAAUUCCACGUGUAGCAGUGAAAUGCGCAGAUAUCAGGAGGAACACCAAUGGCGAAGGCGGCAUCCUGGACCGAUACUGACGCUGAGGAGCGAAAGCCAGGGGAGCAAACGGG